AAGUCGUAACAAGGUUUCCGUAGGUGAACCUGCGGAAGGAUCAUUAACGAAUUGUAAGGUCUUGUGCUGUCGCUGGCUCUCUCUGGGAGCAUGUGCACGCCUGGUCCAAACUCUUCAUUUCAACCCCCUGUGCACUUUUUGUGAAUCGUGGAUGGAUACUCUCGAGGUAACACUCGGUUGUGAGGAUUGUGCUUAAAAAGCAUCUCUCCUCUACAUCCACUUCCGCGGUUCACGUCUUUUCUACACACUACUAUUUAAACUUAGAAUGCUUAACAGUUGGGACUUUAGUGACCCUUCUUAAAUUUAAUACAACUUUCAACAACGGAUCUCUUGGCUCUC
rnacentral:misc_RNA from 1 species